rnacentral:rRNA from 1 species
AUUGAACGCUGGCGGCAUGCCUUACACAUGCAAGUCGAACGGUAACAGGUCUUCGGAUGCUGACGAGUGGCGAACGGGUGAGUAAUACAUCGGAACGUGCCUAGUAGUGGGGGAUAACUACUCGAAAGAGUGGCUAAUACCGCAUGAGAUCUACGGAUGAAAGCAGGGGAUCGCAAGACCUUGUGCUACUAGAGCGGCCGAUGGCAGAUUAGGUAGUUGGUGGGAUAAAAGCUUACCAAGCCGACGAUCUGUAGCUGGUCUGAGAGGACGAUCAGCCACACUCGGACGGAGACACGGCCCAGACUCCUACGGGAGGGAGCAGUGGGGAAUUUUGGACAAUGGGCGCAAGCCUGAUCCAGCAAUGCCGCGUGCAGGAUGAAGGCCUUCGGGUUGUAAACUGCUUUUGUACGGAACGAAAAGCCCUGGGUUAAUACCCUGGGGUCAUGACGGUACCGUAAGAAUAAGCACCGGCUAACUACGUGCCAGCCGCCGCGGUAAGAC